rnacentral:misc_RNA from 1 species
CUUUAGGGCUUCAUUCGCAACGGAUCAUGCCUCUUGCUCAGAAGACCGCCAAGAAGGCCGCGCCGAAGGAUGCGAAGGCGACCAAGGUCGUCAAGGUGACGAAACGCAAGUCGUACACCCGCCCCCAGUUUCGCCGCCCUCACACCUACCGCAAGCCGGCAAUGGCAAAGCCGAGCAACCGCGUGACCGUGGAGUCGAAGGAUAUUGCGGCCUUCAGUGUGAUCCGCUACCCGCUGACGACAGACAAGGCGAUGAAGAAGAUUGAGGAGAACAACACCCUGACCUUCAUCGUCGAUUCCCGCGCCAACAAGACUGAGAUCAAGAAGGCGAUGCGCAAGCUGUACCAGGUCAAGGCCGUGAAGGUCAACACCCUGAUCCGCCCGGAUGGUCUGAAGAAGGCGUACAUCCGCCUGUCUGCGGCCCACGAUGCUCUGGACACCGCCAACAAGAUCGGUCUCGUCUAAGCAUGUUAGCUGACACUUCUUCCAUGGACAAAGUUUUGAGAUGACUUGAGGUAUUUCUCCCUCUCUCUCUGCGCCUUGCCUCGGACUCACCACUUACUUUGCUGCGAGAAGCUCUGGAUGCGCCGUGGCCCUCUUUUUCAUUUUCUCAGUUCCUGCGCCUUUACGAAAAAAAAAAAAGAAAAAAGAAAAGUGAAAGAAAGUAGUCAGCGCUGUGAAGCCGGAGGAGAGCCGGAGCACUUUGAUUGCGGGAGGAAAGGGGACAGCCAAAUCUCUUCUUUCAAGCGUCACGCUUCGCCGCCACUUUUCCAUCUCUUCAAGCGCUGGCGAGACGCCAUCUCGCGACGUUCUAUCCCUGCUUCGCCUCCCGAUAGGAAUGAGCUGAGGAAAGAGGGCGCUAUGAACGUCCCACCCCUGCUUGCGUUGCUGCCUUCGGCACUGCAGCAGCAGGAGAGCUAUCGUCUGCCAGCGGCUUGAGGAGAGGCAAACAUUUUUGCGAUUUUUUCUGUAAUGGGUGCCGUUAUGCAGCCCCGCACAUCACUUUCACGCAUUUGUUUCCAUCACCUUCCCGUUGACCGUUCCCGUCUUGCUCUCUCUCCCUCUCCCUCUCCCUCUCCCUCUCUCUCCAUCUUUUGAUCUGACACAUAUUCUUUCUUGAUUUUACUGCGUGGGCGCACCCUCUUGCACCCACUCGCAUCUGCCCUCUAUGAUUCCUCGUUAUAUAUAUAUAUAUAUAUAUAUAUGUUUGAUUUUUUGUGGCUUGGAAAAUAAAUCAACACAUACUCGGACAUUGCUCUUUUCGUCUCGUGCACGCGAGCAUCAUGUAAAG